UAUCGGAAAAAGAAUGGAAUAUUUAUAUCCAGAUGGCUAAGAACAGUUUCCUCAAGAUCUUCCAUAGCCAAUUGUGCUAUAACACUGGAAAUGGAAGCUCCCAUCGCAUAACCAUCAAUUUUUUUGCACAUUCUAAUACAUCAUCGUACACGUGCUAGCUGAAGAAAGAAAAUCAAUUGUACCGGCCCCAGAGUUAUUAUUACGACUUGACACAAUGAUGGUGGGUGUCUUGAAUGAACUCCAACACAUCCAGAGGGUCGUGGAUGCAAAUUACCGCAGGUCCGAACAAUGGACGGACGAUCUUAGAGGCACACUGCGAUUUUUUCCGCUGUGACACCCACAUAAGAUAGGAUCCGAUGCAGACUCAGGUGAAAAUCAUGAGCAAAACAAAAAUAAUGGAGAAGACAUGUAUGAGUUUGAUGACUCUGCCACGGACAAACAUUAUUUAAAAUCCUCAGAUUCCGAUACUUGUAAGCCCUCUACUUCAAAUAAAUAUGUUACAAAUCAUUAUUAUUCAUCUAAUUAAUCUUUUUCACUUCAGAAUCAGGUAAAAAUCAUAAGCAAAUAAGAAUAAUGGAGAGGACAUGCAUGACAAUUCGAUAAGCAGCGAUGAAGCUGAUGACUCUGACAAGGACAAACAUUAUUUACCAGACAGUGAUUCAAGAUCCUCAGAUUCCGAUAAUUGUAAGCCCUCUACUUCAAAUAAGGUAAAUAAAAAAUUGAACUAUGUAACGACUCGUGAUCUGGAGAAAGACUUACCUCACAAGUGAUGAUGAAUCAGUUGUACCUGCUGAUGUGAACAGCCACAAGAAAUCCUUCAGAAAAGUUGAAAAUAAAAGAUCUAUUGAACAGAAAGGUAGAAAAAGAGUGAUAAAUCCAGAUGCUUGGCUUUGUAAUGUAGGUAAACAAAAAUUGGCUGGAGGUGAAGAGUAUAUUAGCAAGAAAGGUAAAACUGUACCUGCUAAGGUUAUGAAACCACCAUGCUCUUGUCGUUUGAAGUGCUAUGAGAGAUUGAAUUACACAGUAAGAUCACAUAUUUUCAAAAAUUACUGGGACAAAAAUAAAAGCCCUAAUGUGAAGAGACAUUUAUCGUGCUUAGAUGGCAUUCCCAUUGAACGUUCAAGAAAGCCACACAAUUUUCCUAAAAAAACUAAACAUAAUACAAUAAAUUACUAUUUUAAAUAAAGUAAAAAUGAAUAAAUAAUAUAAUUAAAGUGUGCAAAUUGAUGUUUCUAAACAUUCUCGCAAUUUCUAGUACUGUUGUUGUGAAUUGUUUAAAAAACUACCAGCCGGGAGAAGCAGUUUUUUUAAACUUGACCAGAGAAAAAACGCACUCCAACUAACAUAAUAACACAAGAUGGUGUAAAUAAUGUAUAUCUCUUCCAUCCCUUCUUAUGAAAGUCAUUAUUGUCGGGAAAAAACACCAGAGGUAGCCAUAUGUGACACAUGUGACUCGUUUCAGGCCAAUCUUCAAAAUAGCUGUUUGGAGCAAGCAGACUGAGACAGCUUAAAUGCUGAAUACGAGGCACACCUUUCCGAAGCAAAUAAAAGAUACGCCCUAAAAAGUGAAGAUACCAAAAUUGUUAAAACAAACCCUAACCACAAAGUUUUCAAUUGUGACCUGCAAAAGUUUUUGCCUACACCUUUGUUGACAAACGCUUUAAGUUUUUAUAAACGGAAACUUUGGAUUCUAAAUUAUACUCUUUAUGACUCAUCUGAUAAGAGUGUACAUUGCAUGAUGUAGGACGAAUCGAAAGCUGGUAGAGGUGGAGAGGAAAUCUCUUCAGCUAUUUUGAAAUGGGCUGACAGUGUUAUUCCUACUUCAAACGUUCAAGAAAUAUCGCUGUAGUCAGACAACUGUUUUGGCCAGAACAAAAAUAUUUCAAUUAUAGUGUGCUUUUUCUAGAUUUUGAAAAAAUAUCCUCAAAUAAAAUUUAUCAAUAUAAAGUUCCUGUUAAAAGGACAUACUCAUAUGGAAGCGGAUACCGUUCACGCUUUAAUUGAAAGGAAAUGGAAGAACCUUAAGAACCUGACAAUCCUCACUCCCUGAGAAUAACAGUAGAUGGUGCGCCAUUGUUCCAGCAGGUACCAUGUAUAUAACAUGGAGCAAAACAACUUUAAACAAUUUAAUGCACUGCAUAAAGGCAAAAACGUACCAUUUAUACAUCGAAAACAAACUACUGAUAAGGAAGUUUUUCAUGUCUAGCUGCGUCCAUAUUCAAGUGAGGCAGGAACAACUUGGCAUUUUUCACUCCAAAUCGUCAUUUGAUGGCGAUUUUCAAGCAGUUGACGUCAACAGGAAAAGAAAAAGUAAAAGAUUAGAUGAGGAUGGGCCUACAUUUCCGCCAAAUCUUUCAAUUAAGGAAGCUGUCCCAAUAUCAGAAAUUCAAUGACUUCAUUUCUUUAUUACCUUACAUUCCUAGUUUUCGCCAUGGCUUUUAUGAGAACCUCUUAAAAACUAAUUUUAAUAACCAUGACUAUCCAACCGGUGAUAA